CCUACGGGUGGCUGCAGUGGGGAAUCUUGGACAAUGGGCGCAAGCCUGAUCCAGCCAUUCCGCGUGAGUGAAGAAGGCCUUCGGGUUGUAAAGCUCUUUCGCAAGGGAAGAAAACUUAUCCUCUAACAUAGGAUGAGGUUGACGGUACCUUGAUAAGAAGCACCGGCUAACUACGUGCCAGCAGCCGCGGUAAUACGUACGGUGCGAGCGUUAAUCGGAAUUACUGGGCGUGAAGUGUAAGCAGGAUGUGAAAUCCCCGGGCUCAACUUGGGAACUGCGUUUGAAACUACAAGACUAGAAUAGGUCAGAGGGAAGUAGAAUUCCACGUGUAGCAGUGAAAUGCGUAGAGAUGUGGAGGAAUAUCAAUGGCGAAGGCAGCCCCCUGGGAUCAUAUUGACGCUCAUGCACGAAAGCGUGGGGAGCAAACAGGAUUAGAUACCCUAGUAGUC
rnacentral:rRNA from 1 species